CCCUCUCUACCUCCCUCAGACUCUUCUAUCUCUACUUCCCUUAUCUCUCUCUCCUUAUCAACCUAAAUGCAUAAAACACAGACGGUGCUUUGCCUCCGUUUCCGUCUAAACCCUUUAAACCCUGCUACCAGCCUCACGAUGAGGUCUCUACCACCCUCCCCCAAUCAGUUCAAGACACCUAGAUGAUAGAUCUGAGGCCUUGAACUAAAGUUUUCUGACAAAAUUUCAUCGUUACAAGCAAAAAGAACACCUUUGGGAGCUUCCCCCCUCCCCGAUUUUUUCGACGAGGCACCAAGACUCUCAGGCUAUUUAAAGUCAUCUCAGGCCACCAACUGGCCACAGGAUAGAUUCCAGCCACCCACAUACUUCGCAAAGAAGGCAAGUAUAGCCAUACUUGUAGGCGCAUAGGUGCGCGUGGGAUAUGUAGUGCUUGGCACGUGGAGCACACAUGCCUCUUAUUGAAGGUAUUACGCUCCACUGCCAUCCAUGACAGAUUACGGCAACACUCUGACGACUAAAAAUCGACGUGUGUCGUCCCGGGGCACUGCCCUGUGGUAGCAUGUGGAGAAACUCGAGGUCACUCCUUAGUUUUCUCGAUGUACCGAAACCGAAUGCUGUCCGUUUUCGCAAAUUCCACCGUUUUAAUAUAGUUUCUCCAAUAGUUGUACUUUGUAUAAAUACGCAAAUUUAUGUUUGUGCGUGGUAUUGACAUUAGUGGUUUCAUAUUUAGGUAAAACGAGUUCCAAGGAACUUCGAAACCUGUAAGGGGGUUUCAACUUGAUGAAAUGAUUGUGAGUGGGUCUUUUUGUUUUUAUGCAUAUCAUAUAUAUAGUUUUUCCAUAACUAUUGUGGCAUGCCAUGUUUGGCUUACAAAUGAACUUUUCAUACACUUUACGUUUAUUAUAUUAUUUUAAACAUAAACAUGUGGAAUGACAUUCUUAUAUCAUAUAUGUUCAUUUUAU